rfam:Picea glauca, whole genome shotgun sequence.
ACAUGUCUACAACAUAGUGUUAAUGCAUAAGAUCCCAUUAGAACUCCGCAAUUAAGCGCGCUUGGGCUAGAAUAUUACUAGGAUGGGUGAUCGCCCGAGAAGUCCUAGUAUUUUACAUGCC